CUAAGUAAGGUUCUUUGAAGAGUCGAGUUGUUGGGGAAAGCAGCUUUAAGUGGGUGGUAAAUUCCAUCUUUUUUUUUUAUUGGGGGAGAAAAAAUAGCGAACAAGUACAGUGAUGGAAAGAUGAAAAGAACUUUGAAAAGAGAGUGAAAAAGUACGUGAAAAAAAUUAAAAGGGCCCCGUCCUUUGUAUUUUUUAAAAUAUUUGUGACCUUGCCUUCGUGGCGGGGUGACCCGCAGCUU
rnacentral:rRNA from 1 species